rnacentral:rRNA from 1 species
CCUACGGGUGGCUGCAGUGAGGAAUAUUGGUCAAUGGGCGCUAGCCUGAACCAGCCAAGUAGCGUGCAGGAUGACUGCCCUAUGGGUUGUCAACUUCUUUUAUAUGGGAAUAAAGUGCAGUAUGUAUACUGCUUUUCAUGUAUCUUAUGAAUAAGGAUCGGCUAACUCCGUGCCAGCAGCCGCGGUAAUACGGAGGAUCCGAGCGUUAUCCGGAUUUAUUGGGUUUAAAGGGAGCGUAGGCGGGUUGUUAAGUCAGUUGUGAAAGUUUGCGGCUCAACCGUAAAAUUGCAGUUGAUACUGGCAGCCUUGAGGUCAGUAGAGGUAGGCGGAAUUCGUGGUGUAGCGGUGAAAUGCUUAGAUAUCACGAAGAACUCCGAUUGCGAAGGCAGCCGGCUGGACUGUAACUGACGCGGAGGCUCGAAAGUGUGGGUAUCAAACAGGAUUAGAUACCCUAGUAGUC